GAACAUAAUUUGGCUUAAAAACGGCUGCGCCAUAGAAUAAUACGUAACGCGUGAUACUGUAAAAAAAAAAUGUUCGAUUACUGCGGCUGAUCGAAUUACUGUUAUACGCGAGCCGUGAGUUAUUUUCUUCCGUCGACGUGCGCGUUUCACACACACGGCGGGUCGCGUUUGCUCGUUGAAAUAUGCACAAAUCCGCUAAAAGCGUCGUACUUCGGACUCGUCGGACAUUUUAUAGCGGAAACCGAUCGUUCGAUUUCGUGAAUAUAAUGACAGUAUGCGACAGAACCCCGCGGGAAAACGUUAAGACUGCGAGACGUUUUCAUCGACCUUUAUUGCAUAACAUCUAUACGGUCUCAGACGCCGAUCUAGAGCACGGACCCGGGAGGGGCGGCAAUGGUUUUUUUUUUU